AUGUCAGGAAAUGGUGGCUUAUCUUUGGGAAGCCUAAUUCUGGCUUGCCAGUUCAUAAAGAAGUACUUUUUUCUCUUGGACUUGAAAAGAGCAAAGGAGAGUAUCAAGCUUGGUUACGCCUGCAGUCCUUGUGUUUGGGAUACUUUUAUUGAAGGAUUGACAGAAAUGGCAAGUUCCAAUCCUGCAUAUAUGGAGAUGGAAGAAGGAGACUUACCAACAUGAUUAGUUAUUGAAUGAUUCAGUUCCCUUUGACAAUCCUUUGUUGAUUGCUUAUGCUGCCCGGUUGUAUGAGAAGUUUGGAGAAUCUGCCCUUCGGUCCUUAAUCAGGUUUUACCCAUCUGUUUUGCCUUCGGAUGUCAUGCAACUUUGUCAUCAUCAUCCUGCUCAGUUUUUGGCCUAUUUAGACAGUCUGGUGAAAUCGGGGCCUGAAGAUCAACGGCCAUCCUUCCUUGAGUCCCUUCUACAACCAGAGUCUUUGAGAUUGGAUUGGCUGCUUUGGGCCGUGUCCCACGAUGCUCCCCCAAGCACAAGCACGAUGGACAAUGAAGGAAACCCCAGGCCUCAUUCACACUUGUGUUCGUGGGGUUAUAGCCAGCUGAUGCUUCAUCUCAUUAAACUACCUGCAGAUUUUACAACCAAAGAGAAAAUGACUGACAUCUGUAAGUCUCAUGGUUUCUGGCCUGGAUAUCUUUCUCUUUGUUUGGAGCUGGAAAGAAGAAGAGAGGCCUUCACCAACAUUGUGUGCCUAAAUGAUAUGAGCCUGAUGGAAGGGGACAAUGGUUGGAUCCCAGAGACUGUGGAGGAAUGGAAGCUUCUGCUACAUCUCGUACAGAACAAGAGCACGAACCCCCAGAAGUCGCCAAAUGGAAACUUCAGUGAUGGGCCUCCCCCCAUCAACGUGGAGAAUGUGGCACUCCUGUUAGCUAAGGCCAUGGGCCCAGAUCGGGCCUGGUCACUGCUACAGGAAUGUGGUUUGACCCUGGAGCUGUCAGAGAGGUUUACCAGAACCUGCGAUAUCCUAAGGAUUGCUGAGAAAAGGCAGAGAGCCUUGAUACAAAGCAUGCUUGAAAAAUGUGAUCGGUUUCUCUGGUCUCAGCAGGCCUAGUGGAAGAAGAUUCAGCAAAUGUCACAAUGCUUUGAGAAAAACUGAACCAUGCUCCUGAACCUCCUGAGUGCAUUUGCUGUUGAAGGAAAGUAGCACUCAGGAUGGUUUGAGAAGUGACGGAGGUCAUGAAUGUGAUGAAUGUGAAGCACGGAGCAGGCGCCUGGCACAGAGUACAGGGAGAGCCAUCUCUUGGUGACACGUGAGACUAAAGUGCAGGGCAGUAAAGCUUGUGACGGUGCCCAGGAACACGUGUUAGCUGUUGUGUGAGAGGAUUGGAAGAUCCUUGCACCCAGAAGUGAUCAGACCCGGGUAAGCUGGUUCAUACGAACCCGGGAGAGUGGGAGCACCAAAACUGAAGGUAAGAAUGUCCUUGUAUGUGUUAAAUGUCCCUGUCCUGCCCAAGGCUCCAAACCUUGUGAUCGUCCUUGCCUCUCCCCUCCUCAACCCUCAUUUACGUUUCCCUAGCCACCGCUAGGGAAAUCCUCUCAGUUCUGUGUUGGUGGU